rnacentral:rRNA from 1 species
UUAUGGCUCAGGAUGAACGCUAGCUACAGGCUUAACACAUGCAAGUCGAGGGGCAGCAUGACGAUAGCUGCUAUUGUGAUGGCGACCGGCGCACGGGUGAGUAACGCGUAUCCAACCUUCCCUAUAGUAGAGGAUAGCCCGGCGAAAGUCGGAUUAAUACUCUAUGUUUUCCAAUGCAGACAUCUAAAAUGGAACAAAGGUUUACCGCUAUAGGAUGGGGAUGCGUCUGAUUAGGUUGUUGGCGGGGUAACGGCCCACCAAGCCUACGAUCAGUAGGGGUUCUGAGAGGAAGGUCCCCCACAUUGGAACUGAGACACGGUCCAAACUCCUACGGGAGGCAGCAGUGAGGAAUAUUGGUCAAUGGGCGAGAGCCUGAACCAGCCAAGUAGCGUGCAGGAAUGACGGCCCUAUGGGUUGUAAACUGCUUUUAUACAGGGAUAAAGUGCGCCACGUGUGGCGCUUUGUAGGUACUGUAUGAAUAAGGACCGGCUAAUUCCGUGCCAGCAGCCGC